CGCAUGUCGAGCGCAUGAUGACAUAUGCAACAUUGGACCGUUUAUCGUGGCGUGCGUUCUGGGUAAGGACGUUGUAGCUUUGGUGGACACUGGAGCGGCUGUAUCCCUGAUAGGUGGCACCAUCCACGAUUGGUGCCGGGAGCGGAACAUUUCCGAACGGACAACCCGGACCUGCAUAAGGCUUGCAUCAGAUGCAGUGGUACCAGCCGGAGGAGCAGCACGUCUCACCCUGACCGUAGAUGGACAACGUGUCAGACAACGCUUCAUCUACUUGCCCGGAUUGGCGGGACUGAUGAUCCUGGGGCGCGACUUCAUUAUCCGGAUGGACUUACGUCGCGGAGGCUACCAGCAUGCAAGCGGUACCACCCUCUAUCCCUUCAUGGAGUGGACAACGCCGGAAACGGAGCAGAACCGGACUGGUCUAACCCAUGCAUUGGAGCAGCGCGGAUAGAAACCGGCGACGCAAGGCCUUGGCGAUGUAACCCUCGGCCUUUGAGCGUGCAUAAGCGCAAGCUCCUCGAUGCUGCGCUGGAUGAAAUGAUCGAAACCGGUGCUGUGAGACCAUCCCGCAGCCCGUGGGGUUUUCCGGUGGUUCUUGCGCCGUAAAAAGGAUGGAACCGCAAGGUUGUGCGUGGAUUACCGCCCACUGAACGAGGUGAUGGAACACCUUUCUCAUUUGAAAAUGGGGUUACGACGCGUGCAGGCUGCAAGAUUGACUGUCAAUCCCCGGAAGGUGCAGUUGGUUACCAACAGCAUCGAACUCAUCGGGUUCAAGGUGGAGUCCGGCACGGUCAGGCCGGACGAGGACAAGCUAAAGGCUAUCCUAGAGCAGUGUUUCCCAAAGUGUGGUUAUCCUAGAGCAGUGUUUCCCAAAGUGUGGUUAUCCUAGAGCAGUGUUUCCCAAAGUGUCCGUGGGGGUCCGCGACCGUCUCUCACAUUUCAGUGAGGAUUUUCGUCCCCACAAACACGCGCUCAUACAUGUUCCCGAUUUCCAAACACCCAGAACUUCCAAAAUUGCUACAUGCAUGCUUCAACGGCUAGCUUCUAAUUUCUGAUAGAAAAGUCCUGCAAUGCACGUUUGUCCGCGUCAUACACAUACAAACAAGAAGAAACCAGUCCGGAAUCGUUUGUGAAGCUGUAUUGAAAGCACGCAGCAGCUGACGAGGUUGCUGGUUAUGCACUGGCUGUGACGGUGUGUGGGUUCAAGAACUGGUUCUCAUCGCUUCCCGGGGUCCGUCACCGCCAAAAGUUUGGGAAACACUGUUCUAGAGUACUCCCGCCCGACAGAUGUUAAAAGCUAGCAGCGCUUCCCGGUACGAUUGACUUCUAUAGACAAUUUAUACCGGGAUGCGCAGAGCUAACGCAACCGCUAACUUGGCUUUUGUGGAAGGGAGCACGAUGGUCGUGGGGUCAAGCGCAGGAGCAGGCGUUUACCUCUCUCUCGCUAAAGCGAUUGCGGAAACUACCCGCUUGUAUCUCCAAGACCUGAACCACCCAUUUGUACUUCAAACAGAUGCGAGCGAUUAUGCUUAGUGCAGUCUUGUUACAAGAGCACCACGGUGAACUCCAGCCCGUGGCAUUUGCAAGCCGUGCGCUGACGCCUUCCGAGCGCAGAAGGAGUGCCUUGUU